AGCGUAGACGGACUGGCAAGUCUGAUGUGAAAGGCGGGGGCUCAACCCCUGGACUGCAUUGGAAACUGUUAGUCUUGAGUGCCGGAGAGGUAAGCGGAAUUCCAAGUGUAGCGGUGAAAUGCGUAGAGAUUUGGAGGAACACCAGUGGCGAAGGCGACUGUCUGGUCCGUAACUGACACUGAGGCGCGAAAGCGUGGGGAGCAAACA
rnacentral:rRNA from 1 species